AGAGUUUGAUCCUGGCUCAGGAUGAACGCUGGCGGCGUGCCUAACACAUGCAAGUCGAGCGGAGCUUCGGCUCAGCGGCGGACGGGUGAGUAACGCGUGGGCAACUUGCCCUGUGGAUCGGGAUAACAAGCGGAAACGCUUGCUAAUACCGGAUAAGCGAGCGAAGAGGCAUCUCUUAGCCCGAAAAGAUUUAUCGCCACAGGAUAGGCCCGCGUCCAAUUAGCCAGUUGGCGGGGUAAAGGCCCACCAAAGCGACGAUUGGUAGCCGACCUGAGAGGGUGACCGGCCACAUUGGGACUGAGACACGGCCCAAACUCCUACGGGAGGCAGCAGUGGGGAAUAUUGCGCAAUGGGCGAAAGCCUGACGCAGCAACGCCGCGUGAGGAAAGAAGGCCUUCGGGUUGUAAACCUUUUUAGUCAGGGACGAAUAAUGACGGUACCUGAAGAAUAAGCCCCGGCUAACUGCGUGCCAGCAGCCGCGGUAAUACGUAGGGGGCAAGCGUUAUCCGGAAUUACUAGGGCGUAAAGGGUGAGUA
rnacentral:rRNA from 1 species